AGUGAACGCUGGCGGUAGGCCUAACACAUGCAAGUCGAGCGGCAGCACAGUAAGAGCUUGCUCUUACGGGUGGCGAGUGGCGGACGGGUGAGGAAUACAUCGGAAUCUACUUUUUCGUGGGGGAUAACGUAGGGAAACUUACGCUAAUACCGCAUACGACCUACGGGUGAAAGCAGGGGAUCUUCGGACCUUGCGCGAUUGAAUGAGCCGAUGUCGGAUUAGCUAGUUGGCGGGGUAAAGGCCCACCAAGGCGACGAUCCGUAGCUGGUCUGAGAGGAUGAUCAGCCACACUGGAACUGAGACACGGUCCAGACUCCUACGGGAGGCAGCAGUGGGGAAUAUUGGACAAUGGGCGCAAGCCUGAUCCAGCCAUACCGCGUGGGUGAAGAAGGCCUUCGGGUUGUAAAGCCCUUUUGUUGGGAAAGAAAAGCAGCAGGUUAAUACCCCGCUGUUCUGACGGUACCCAAAGAAUAGGCACCGGCUAACUUCGUG
rnacentral:rRNA from 1 species